GGAUGAGGGCGAUCUGGCUGCGACAUCUAUCACCCCAUUGAUCGCCAGGGUUGAUUCGGCUGAUCUGGCUGGCUAGGCGGGUGUCUCCUUCCUCCCUCACCGCUCCAUGUGCGUCCCUCCCAAAGCUAUGCGCUCGGUCGAAGUGGACGGCCUUCCCCGAAUAGAGAUGGACAGGUCUUCCGUCGAGGGUAUACGACUAGCUGCGCUCCCCUGCUAGAACCUCCAAACAAGCUCUCAAGUAUAGCAUAUGAUAUGUAAUGUUAUUGCUUUUUUAUUGAACCUUUUUUUUUUCAGUUGCAAGAAUUUAAA
ensembl:misc_RNA 7SK 7SK RNA